rnacentral:rRNA from 1 species
AAAGCGUGCGCAGGCGGUUAUAUAAGACAGAUGUGAAAUCCCCGGGCUCAACCUGGGAACUGCAUUUGUGACUGUAUAGCUGGAGUGCGGCAGAGGGGGAUGGAAUUCCGCGUGUAGCAGUGAAAUGCGUAGAUAUGCGGAGGAACACCGAUGGCGAAGGCAAUCCCCUGGGCCUGCACUGACGCUCAUGCACGAAAGCGUGGGGAGCAAACAGGAUUAGAUACCCCAAU